rnacentral:rRNA from 1 species
CUGCCCUUGGGUCCGGCAUAACCCCGGGAAACUGGGGAUAAUUCCGGAUAACGCACAUAUGCUGGAAUGCUUUAUGCGUAAAAUGGAUUCGUCUGCCCAAGGAUGGGUCUGCGGCCUAUCAGGUAGUAGUGGGUGUAAUGUACCUACUAGCCUACAACGGGUACGGGUUGUGAGAGCAAGAGCCCGGAGAUGGAUUCUGAGACAUGAAUCCAGGCCCUACGGGGCGCAGCAGGCGCGAAAACUUUACAAUGCGGGAAACCGUGAUAAGGGGACACCGAGUGCUAGCAUCAUAUGCUGGCUGUCCAGGUGUGUAAAAUACACCUGUUAGCAAGGGCCGGGCAAGACCGGUGCCAGCCGCCGCGGUAACACCGGCGGCCCGAGUGGUGAUCGUGAUUAUUGGGUCUAAAGGGUCCGUAGCCGGUUUGGUCAGUCCUCCGGGAAAUCUGAUAGCUCAACUAUUAGGCUUUCGGGGGAUACUGCCAGACUUGGAACCGGGAGAGGUAAGAGGUACUACAGGGGUAGGAGUGAAAUCUUGUAAUCCCUGUGGGACCACCUGUGGCGAAGGCGUCUUACCAGAACGGGUUCGACGGUGAGGGACGAAAGCUGGGGGCACGAACCGGAUUAGAUACCCGGGUAGUCCCAGCCGUAAACGAUGCUCGCUAGGUGUCAGGCAUGGCGCGACCGUGUCUGGUGCCGCAGGGAAGCCGUGAAGCGAGCCACCUGGGAAGUACGGCCGCAAGGCU